GUUUCAAAACAGGUUGCUGACAGACAUGAAGCAUAAUAAAAUAGGAAAGGUUAAUAUAAAUAACCUGGCUGCCAUUUUGGAAGUCAUGGACAUCAAGCUUACAGAAGAGGAACUUGAUAUGAUAAAGGAUCUUCUGAGUGAUGGAGAGGAAGUUUAUGUCAACAACAUGGAAAGAGUUCUAGGAAACAUGGGGAUAGAGCUCAUAGAUAAAGAACUCUCAGCACUGGUAAAUAAUCUGCCAGUUGAUGGUGAGUAUUUUAAAUAAAAACGUUAUCUUCAGAAAAGCUUAUUAUUAA